rnacentral:rRNA from 1 species
ACGAACGCUGGCGGCGUGCCUAAUACAUGCAAGUCGAACGAGAGCGACCGGUGCUUGCACUGGUCAAUCUAGUGGCGAACGGGUGAGUAACACGUGGGUAACCUGCCCAUCAGAGGGGGAUAACAUCCGGAAACGGAUGCUAAAACCGCAUAGGUCUUCGAGCCGCAUGGCUUGAAGAGGAAAAGAGGCGCAAGCUUCUGCUGAUGGAUGGACCCGCGGUGCAUUAGCUAGUUGGUGAGGUAACGGCUCACCAAGGCCGUGAUGCAUAGCCGACCUGAGAGGGUGAUCGGCCACAUUGGGACUGAGACACGGCCCAAACUCCUACGGGAGGUAGCAGUAGGGAAUCUUCCGCAAUGGACGCAAGUCUGACGGAGCAACGCCGCGUGAGUGAAGAAGGUUUUCGGAUCGUAAAACUCUGUUGUUAGAGAAGAACAAGUGCUAGAGUAACUGUUAGCGCCUUGACGGUAUCUAACCAGAAAGCCACGGCUAACUACGUG